rnacentral:rRNA from 1 species
UACGUAGGGGGCAAGCGUUGUCCGGAUUUAUUGGGCGUAAAGAGCGUGUAGGCGGCCAAACAGGUCCACUGUGAAAACUCGAGGCUCAACCUCGAGAGGUCGGUGGAAACCGUAUGGCUAGAGUCCGGAAGAGGAGAGUGGAAUUCCCGGUGUAGCGGUGAAAUGCGCAGAUAUCGGGAAGAACACCCGUGGCGAAGGCGGGCCUCUCGUCGGGAC